rnacentral:rRNA from 1 species
GAUGAACGCUGGCGGCGUGCCUAAUACAUGCAAGUCGAGCGAACAGACGAGGAGCUUGCUCCUCUGACGUUAGCGGCGGACGGGUGAGUAACACGUGGAUAACCUACCUAUAAGACUGGGAUAACUUCGGGAAACCGGAGCUAAUACCGGAUAAUAUAUUGAACCGCAUGGUUCAAUAGUGAAAGACGGUUUUGCUGUCACUUAUAGCUGGAUCCGCGCCGCAUUAGCUAGUUGGUAAGGUAACGGCUUACCAAGGCAACGAUGCGUAGCCGACCUGAGAGGGUGGUCGGCCACACUGGAACUGAGACACGGUCCAGACUCCUACGGGAGGCAGCAGUAGGGAAUCUUCCGCAAUGGGCGAAAGCCUGACGGAGCAACGCCGCGUGAGUGAUGAAGGUCUUCGGAUCGUAAAACUCUGUUAUUAGGGAAGAACAAAUGUGUAAGUAACUAUGCACGUCUUGACGGUACCUAAUCAGAAAGCCACGGCUAACUACGUG